GUUAACGACUAAAAGCAUUACACGGUGGAGUAACACGGCAGUCGCAGAAGGCGAUGAAGAGACAUUGCUAAUCUGCGAUAGCGCGUAGGUGAUAUGAACCGUUAUAACCGGCGAUUUCGAAUAGAAGAAGCAGUAGCCGUGAUUCGUCACACUAUCAUUAACUUCGAAUCCCAUAGGUUAAUAAUGAGGAGGGCGAACCGGGGGAACUGAAACAUCUAAGUACCCGAGGAAAAGAAAUCAACCGGGUAUUCAGUAGCGGCGAGGAAGGCGAACGGGGAGGCAGGAAGCUAGUCGAAAAGCAUGUGUGUUAGUGGAAGCGUCUGGAAAGGCGCGCAUUACGAAGUGACAGCCCGUACACAAAAGCGCGCAUGCUGUGAGAGGCACGUGAAGUAGGGCGGGGCACGUGGUAUCCUGUCACAGGUAUAAGGACCAUCACUCCAGGCUGAAAUACUCCUGACGACCGAUAGUGAACCCAGUACCGUGAGGGAAAGGCGAAAGAACGGCGAGGAGUGAACACAGGAAACCGUGUACGUACAAGCAGUGAGGCACAGGUUUACCUGUGACUGCGGCCGCACAUAUGGGUAAGCGACAUAUUCUGUAGCAAGAGUUAACCGUAUAGGAGCCGGAGGAAACCAGAGUCUUAACCGGGCGUUAAGUUGCAGGAGUAUAGACGAAACGGUGAUCUAGCCAUGGGUAGAGUUGAAGGUUGGGUAACACUAACUGGAGGACGAGCAAACUAAUGUUGAAAAAUUGGCGAGAUGACCUGUGGCUGGGGGUGAAAAGGCCAAUCAAACAGGGAGGAGAGAUAGCUGGUUCUCCCCAGCUAUUUAGGUAGCGCCUCGUGAAUUCAUCUCCGGGGUAGAGCACUGUUUCGGCUGGGGGCCAUCCCGGCUUACCAACCCGGUAAAACUGCGAAUACCGGAGAAUAUUUAUCACAGGAGACACACGGCAGGUGCUAACGUCCGUCGUGAAGAGGAAACAGCUUGAACCGCCAGCUGGGUCCCAAAGUCAUGGUUAGAGUGGAAACGUGUAGGAAGGCGGAGCAGCCCGGGGAUGUUGGCAAACGCCAUCGGCUUAAAAGCGUAAUAACUCACUGUGAACCCGAGUCGGCCUGCGGAAGAUGUAACAGGGGGCGGCUAAAACCAUGCACCGAAAGCUGCGGCAGCGAACGUAUCGCAAAACGCGAUUCAGCGGAUGACGAUUGACGGAGCGAAGCGACGUCAAAAGCGCUGCUCACAAAGUCGGGGUCGGUUUGCAGAGAUUGCGUUCGUUAGUAGAGCGUUCUGUAAGCCUGCGAAGGUGGCCUGUGAGGGGUUGCUGGAGGUAUCCAGAAGUGCGAAUGCUGACAUAAGUAACGAUAAGCGGGUGAAAAGCCCCGCUCGCCGGAAGACCAAGGGUUCCUGUCCAACGUUAAUCGAAGGGCGAGGAGUGAGGUCGACCUAAGGCGGGCCGAAAGGCGUAGUCGUGGGAGAGCAGGUUAAUAUUCCCGUGUACUUGGUGUUACCGCGAAGAAGGGGACGAGAGAAGGCUAUGUUGGCCGGGCGACGAUUUGUCCCGGUUUUAAGCGUGUAGGUGUGUGUUCGGUAAGAAAUCCAGUUCACUUUAACACUGAGGCGUGACGACGAGGGCACUACGGUGCCUGAAGCAACAAUGCCCUGCUUCGAGGAAAGCCUCUAAGCAUCAGGCAACAUCAAAUCGUACCCCAAGCAAACACAGAGUGGUGAGUAGAAAUACCAAGGCGCUUGAGAAGAACUUUCAGGUGAAGGAACUAGGCAAAUAGUUGCCGUAACUUCGGGAGAAGGCACGCUUGACAUGUAGGUGAAAGUGAUUUUACUCAUGGGCACAGAAGUCAGUCGAAGAUACCAGCUGGCUGCAACUGUUUGUAAAAGCACAGCACUGUGCAAACACAGUGGACGUAUACGGUGUGACGCCUGCGGUGCCGGAAGGUUAAUUGAUAAGGGUCAGCGCAGGCGGCUCCUGAUCGAAGCCCCGGUAAACGGCGGCCGUAACUAUAACGGUCCUAAAAGGUAGCGAAAUUCCUUGUCCGGGUAAAGUUCCGUACGAAUAAUAAUAUUAGCGCGAGCUGUACCUCACGGAACUCAGUGAAAUUGAACUCGCUGUGAAGAUGCAGUGUACCCGCGGCAAGACGGAAAGACCCGUAAUUGCUACUAUAGCUUGACACUGAACGUGAGCAUGAUAUUGUAGGAUAGGUGGGAGAGCUUUUGAGGUAUGGACACUUUCCAGUCUGCAUAAGAGCCGACGAAAUACCACCCUUUAAUGUUUGAUGUUUGUUCUAACGUGGACCCGUAAUCCGGAGUUGCGGACAGUGUCUGGUGGGUAGUUUGACUGGGGCGGUCUCCUCCUAAGUAACGGAGGAGCACGAAGGUUAGCUAUCUGGUCCGGACAUCAGGAGGUUGGAGUGCAAUGGCAUAAAGCCAGCUUGACUGCGAAGCGUGACGGCGGCAGGUGCGAAAGCAGGUCGCAAUGAUCCGGUGGUUCCUGAAUGGAAGCUAAAUAACGGAUAAAAGGUACUCCGAGGGAUAGCACAGGCUGAUACCGCCAAGAGUUCAUAUCGACGGCGGUGUUUGGCACCUCGAUGUCGACUCAUCAUCCUGGGGCUGAUGGGUCCCAAGGGUAUGGCUGUUCGCCCAUUUAAGAGUGGUACGCGAGCUGGGUUUGGGAAACGUCGUGAGACAGUUCGGUCCCUAUCUGCCGUGGGCGCUGGAACUGUGAGGGGCUGCUCCUGAGUACGAGAGGACCGGAGUGGACGCAUCACUGGUGUUCGGGUUGUCAUGCCAAUGGCACUGCCCGGUAGCUAAAUGCGGAAGAGAUAAGUGCUGAAAGCAUCUAAGCACGAAGGCUUGCCCCGAGAUGAGUUCUCCAGCUUAGAGUCUCUCCUGAAGGGACGUUGAACGACGACGUUGAUAGGCCGGGUGUGUAAAGCGCAGCGUGCGUUGGCUAACCGGUACUAAUGAAAAGACCGUGAGGCUUAACAU
rnacentral:rRNA from 1 species